CACGCCAUCUCCCUUUCCUCCUCUCUUUCCAACGCCCAAGGAUUGGGCAUCCCAUAUUCCCACACGUCUGAGUUAAAGGUGAUUUCUUCUACAGUAAGGAACAGGAAGAAAGGCUGCAUUCAAGUAUUGAGAUUGCAGUCAAAGAUCCAGAUUUGAUCAAAGAUCCAAAAGACUGAGAUUCAUCUUGGAGGAGAUGGAUCUGUAACAAAAAAAAGUUCAAGAUUGAUCCUGGUGAAUACCUGUAGAGGCCAGAUACAUGUGUGGCUCAGGAA
rnacentral:lncRNA from 1 species